GAUGAAGAACGUAGCGAAAUGCGAUACGUAAUGUGAAUUGCAGAAUUCAGUGAAUCAUCGAAUCUUUGAACGCAUAUUGCGCUCUCUGGUAUUCCGGAGAGCAUGCUUGUUUGAGUAUCAGUAAACACCUCAACUCCCUUUUCUUUUUUGAAAUUGGAGCUGGACUUGAGUGAUCCCAACGCUUUCUUCCAAGAAAGUGGCGGGUUGCUUGAAAUGCAGGUGCAGCUGUACUUUUCUCUGAGCUAUAAGCAUAUCUAUUUAGUCUGCCUAAAAAACAGAUUAUUACCUUUGCUGCAGCUAACAUAAAGGAGACUAGUUCUUGUGCUGACUGAUGCAGGAUUCACAGAGACAGCUUCGGCUGACUUUGUAAACUCGAUCUCAAAUCAAGUAAGACUACCCGCUGAACUUAAGCAUAUCAAUAAGCGGAGGA
rnacentral:misc_RNA from 1 species